AGUUUCCCGCGACAUGCUGAUUCCCGAUUACUAGCAACUCCGGCUUCAUGCAGGCGAGUUUCAGCCUGCAAUCCGAACUGGGAUGAGUUUUAUGAGAUUUGCUCCACCUCGCGGUCUCGCGUCUCUUUGUUCUCACCAUUGUAGCACGUGUGUAGCCCUAGACAUAAGGGGCAUGAUGAUUUGACGUCAUCCCCACCUUCCUCCCGGUUAACCCGGGCAGUCUCUUUAGAGUGCUCAACUGAAUGGUAGCAACUAAAAAUAAGGGUUGCGCUCGUUGCGGGACUUAACCCAACAUCUCACGACACGAGCUGACGACAACCAUGCACCACCUGUCUUCCUGCCCCGAAGGGCUUCCCCGGUUAAGGGUAAUUCAGGAGAUGUCAAGUCUAGGUAAGGUUCUUCGCGUUGCUUCGAAUUAAACCACAUGCUCCGCUGCUUGUGCGGGCCCCCGUCAAUUCCUUUGAGUUUUAGUCUUGCGACCGUACUCCCCAGGCGGGGUACUUAUUGUGUUAACGACGGCACAGAAGGGGUCGAUACCUCCUACACCUAGUACCCAUCGUUUACGGCGUGGACUACCAGGGUAUCUAAUCCUGUUUGCUACCCACGCUUUCAUGCCUCAGUGUCAGUUACAGUCCAGAAAGCCGCCUUCGCCACUGGGGGUUCCUCCUAAUAUCUACGCAUUUCACCGCUACACUAGGAAUUCCGC
rnacentral:rRNA from 1 species